rnacentral:lncRNA from 10 species
UUGCCGAGGACUUUGUCCACCAAGUGAUGAAAGCAUGCAAAUGCCUCCGAAUCAAAGGUGAGGAAAACAAAAGCUCAGAAACUAUCUUGGAGUCAGCAAGUAAGAAGGAGCUUAGAAAGGCUUAACAUUUUCCAUGCUUCUGCCUGGCUUCAGAGCCCAUGCACUCUGCCUUACCACGGCAGGUGAAAGAUGGCCCCAAAUUCUUAGGUACAUCUCCUGCCAAAAGACCCCUCCUAUGGGUUCUGUGACUACUUCAAUGAAAAGAAUAGGGCAGAAGAGAUGAUGAGAACUUAACAUCUGGCAGUGUCCAUUUCCUGUCUUUUGAAACUUUCUGUUAAAGGCCUGAGCCACGUAUGAAGUGUGAAUCUUCACACCAUGCAAGAGAAGCCACAUGUUAUUGCUCUGGUCAACAAUCCCAGCUGACCCAACCAGAUAGUGUAUCAGGCAUAUGAGUAAAGCAUUCUUAGAUUCUUCAGUCCAGCCCUUCACCAGCAGAACACCAUUCAGCAACCCUUGUCGGCAUCAUGUGGGACAGAAGAACCACCCAGCUGAGCCUUAUCCAAAUUCCUGACCACAAAAUCAUAAGGGAGAAUGACUUCUUUCAUAUCGCUGAAUGGAGCAACAUGUUUGGCCAAGUUCCUGUCCCAGGGAGGAGAACCUUCAGCUUGCAACAAGUCCUGGCCGUUGGAGAAACCAUGAGACUAGACCUUGUGUAAAGCAGCUGAUUCUGCCAUGGGGGAAAUGCCCUUUUGUUUACUGAGCUUCUCCCACCCAUGCCUUGCUCCACUUUCCUCUAGAAGCCUGAGAUAUUGGGAAUAAGAGUCUCAGCCUCCAAGAGAUGGAGAACAUAUCAAGAGAGUCUGGAUUUCUGGGGUGAUUAAGUUCACUUGAUUCAUUAGCCUAAGUGCUCAAGUAAAUUUCAAAUCACAGUGUUAUGUGUGAUUGUCCACGUCCUUCCUCCAAACACUCCCCACCUCCCACCCAAGGGCCCAUGUAACUUGCUAUUGAGAACCUUUGAUUUCUUAGGUAUUUGGGUGAUAGGGUUUUGUUGCCUCUCCUGAAGAAAAUAGUGGCAAUUUGUACUCAGCUGUGGAAUAAAGGAAAUCAUGACACCUGAGAGAGCAAGACCAGCCCCUUCUUUUCUUCCACCUCCUCAUCUACUCAACAUGUAUCUUCAUUCUCAAGACGAUGAGGAUGAAGACCUUUAUGAUGCUCCACUCCCAGUUAAUAAAUAGUGAUGAAAUUGAGACCUCGCAGUUAAAUGUUUAAGUCAGGAUGAACUACUUUUCCAGGGAUGGUGAAGCCGGAGCUCUGGAUGGCACUCCUGGAUCUCCUAAAUCUUGAUUCCGUGCUCUUUUCUCCCCACUUGGCUCCACUGUUUUGGCAGAGUCCCUUAAGAUGGACCUGAUUGGAUGAUGUGGAACUAGCCAUGCAGAAAGAACAGAGGGUGGGAAAACAAAUGAGGUCAGAGAGUCCUCAUAUUAGUCGGUUCUUGCACUGCUAUAAAGAACUAUCUGAGGCUGGAUAAUUUAUGAAGAAAAGAGGUUUACUUGACUCACGGUUCCACAGGCUGUACAGGAGGCAUAGCUGGGGAGUCCUCAGGAAACUUAACAAUCAUAGCAGAAGACAAAAAAGAAGUAAGCAUGUCUUCACAUAGCCAGCAAGAGAGAGAGACAGAGACCAAAGCAGGAGGUGCUAUACACUUUAAAACAACCAGAUCUCAUGAGAACUCUUUCAGGAGAACAGCAAGGGGAAAGUUUGCCUCCAUGAUUCAAUCACCUCCCACCAGGCCUUUCCUCUAAUACUGGGAAUUACAAUUGAACAUGAGAUUUGAGUGAGGACAAAGAGCCAACCAUAUCAGUCCUCUUCAGUUGUUGGUACCUAUGUGGGGAGAAGGAGCUGUGUAGAGUGGGUGUGACUAAGUCGGUCAGAACUGGGAAGCAUGGCAGACUAGGCUGUCCUGCAACCGGAGGGUGGUUUCAGAAUCCAGAGCCUGGGAUAGCAUUCCCUGGACCCUCAGUCCAUACCUGCUAUCUACAGGCAGCUAGAGAAAACGUAAGAAUCAGCAUCGGUCACAGGUGACAUUGGGGCAGGGCACUGAGCUCCCUGCUCUCCACUGCGGCUGCAGUCUUUAAACUCCUUAUUCUAUCCAGCACAGACAGUUUGCAGACGAAGGUUUCUGCACCGGCAUCUCUGCUCAGAAGAGAUUUGCUGAUGUAACAAUUAUUUGCACUAUUUAUAUUCAAAUGUUCUUUUAAAAAAAUGCAGCCUCUAAAUUUACGGAUAGUAACUGUGUGCAAAUCAGGAAACUUAUCUCCUUUUUAUAGUCUAAAAUCAAAUUACACUUUACAUUUUUCUCACUUGCAGAAUAUUAGAUUGUGAUGCCUAAAUGACUUGUGUUUAUGAAAAAGGUGAAUUUUAAGAACAAAUUUUAAAACUGCAUAAGCAGUUUAAUGGGUGUUUUUAGAAAGUGAGAAUGAUCAGCUGGUAAGCAUUUAUUAUAUAUUAAACUGGAAGUUAUAUCGUCGCAUCCGUUAGCACUGAAUUCUGAAAAUCAUCAUGGCCCAGGUUUGUGUUUAUGAAAUGAUGGACCACAGGACUGUUAAAUAAAGU